rnacentral:tRNA from 1 species
GGCGUCGUAGCUUAAUGGUAAAGCCCCGGUCCUCUAAACCGUGUGAAAUGUGGGUUCGAGUCCCAUCGACGCCAC